rnacentral:rRNA from 1 species
GACGAACGCUAGCGGCGUGCUUAACACAUGCAAGUCGAACGGAAAGGCCCUGCUUUUGUGGGGUGCUCGAGUGGCGAACGGGUGAGUAACACGUGAGUAACCUGCCCUUGACUUUGGGAUAACUUCAGGAAACUGGGGCUAAUACCGGAUAGGAGCUCCUGCUGCAUGGUGGGGGUUGGAAAGUUUCGGCGGUUGGGGAUGGACUCGCGGCUUAUCAGCUUGUUGGUGGGGUAGUGGCUUACCAAGGCUUUGACGGGUAGCCGGCCUGAGAGGGUGACCGGCAACAUGGGGACGGAGAUACGGCCCAGACGCCUACGGGAGGCAGAAGUGGGGAAUAUUGCACAAUGGGCGGAAGCCUGAUGCAGCAACGCCGCGUGCGGGAUGACGGCCUUCGGGUUGUAAACCGCUUUCGCCUGUGACGAAGCGUGAGUGACGGUAAUGGGUAAAGAAGCACCGGCGAACUACGU